rnacentral:lncRNA from 1 species
CUGUCACCCAGUGUUCUUAUGGAAAAAUACGACGUCAUCCAAGGCAGGACAACAAAGAUCGUUGCUACAUAUAUUCACUGCCAGGAGAAGAUAACCAGCUUGCCUUCCAUAAGGAUGAGCUCCCCAAUGUGGAAGCUUCCCAAUGGCUUGCAAAGGCACAGAUUGCCUGAAUCUUUCUGGUGACUCCUCAGUAUCUCCAGAUUUCUGGAAAAGAAGAGGAAAAAAUUAUGACAGAA